UUAUUACGUGUUUCCUCGGGUCAUGGCCCGAUUCAAAUUUAUCUUGCAGUAGAAGGGAGCUUUCUGCAUAAACCCAGUUUGUCCCGUGUGCAGCGCCUUCGAAGUGAAUUUCCACAACCUGUUUCACUAUCGGCCUACAUUUUCCACUUCAAGAUUUGAUCCUUGGUUUUUCUCGCCGUGGAAAUCUUUCCCGAAUUUGUCUCCAACCAUGACGAGAGCCUCAGGAAAAAAGAUUAUUAACUAAUUAGUGACGGAAUUUCACACUAAUUUCAUUCAUUGCGAACUGCCAUUCAACACAUUUCUAACAGAAAAAAGCAAUUUUUUAAAGUGUGAACAUCCUCCUCAAGAUUAAUCCCCAUAUUCAACUCCAUAACGUCAUCGACAUAUUCAUUUCGCUUUAGAUCCCUCCAUUCUGCUGUUCAGUUUUUCUAGAUGUCAGGCAUUUGCCGAAUUGUGGCGCCGUCCUUUUCAAAUUAAAAAUUACCCUUCUAAGGUGAGAACUGGCCCAGAAUUUUCAGACAUCAAGUCUACCAAGGCCGGCGUUCCCCAAGGGAGUAUCCUAGGACCAAUCCGCUAUAGUUUCCGCUGAUAUUACUAUACACCUUAACACCCACAUCACAUCUUGACCCUAUCCUUGUAGGAAAAGCAACAAAGCAACACAAGAUCAUCUAGACCUCAUUACCGACUGGUGCACUCGGUGGCUCAUCAAGCUAAACAAACAAACGGGCUGGCACGUGAGUUCACAACUAGAAGAAUUUCCUUAUCACCAGUGUACAUAAACAGUGAAGUAAUCCCUCGAUCCGAACAAAUCCGCUUCCUGGGGUUCUACUUGGACAACUACGUCGCAUCAUCAACGCUCUAUUCUACCUCCCUAACCAAACAAUUCAGUUAUAGCGGUCCGGUGGAGACACCGACGCUAAACGCUCCUCGCAGGAAGUGUAUAAAAGGAAAAAUAAAAACGACCAUCCCUACGAAAGGGUAGUCACUUCAGUGUAGUACAGUCGUUUGUCCUGUUUGUUGAGAAUUAAGAAGCUCGUCUACACCCCAAGGUACCGAUGUUGCAACAUCCAUUCCAAAAUUAAUGUUAAUUGUGCUCAUGUUCAUUUUUGUAUAACAUUUUGUAAACACUAUGUAAUAAAGGAUGUUAUUGCGUA